rnacentral:misc_RNA from 1 species
GUGGGAGGGGGCUUGCCCCCGAUGGCGUUGUGUCAGCUAUCAAUGAGUCGCUGGGACGCCACAAUCGGGGGCAAGCCCCCUCUCAC